rnacentral:rRNA from 1 species
AUUGAACGCUGGCGGCAUGCUUUACACAUGCAAGUCGAACGGUAACAGGCCUUCGGGUGCUGACGAGUGGCGCACGGGUGAGUAAUGCAUCGGAACGUGCCCAGAGGUGGGGGAUAACGCAGCGAAAGCUGUGCUAAUACCGCAUGUGAUCUGAGGAUGAAAGCGGGGGACCAGGCAGCAAUGUUUGGCCUCGCGCCUUUGGAGCGGCCGAUGUCGGAUUAGGUAGUUGGUGGGGUAAAGGCCUACCAAGCCGACGAUCUGUAGCUGGUCUGAGAGGACGACCAGCCACACUGGGACUGAGACACGGCCCAGACUCCUACGGGAGGCAGCAGUGGGGAAUUUUGGACAAUGGGCGCAAGCCUGAUCCAGCAAUGCCGCGUGCGGGAAGAAGGCCUUCGGGUUGUAAACCGCUUUUGUACGGAACGAAAAGGCUCUGGCUAAUACCUGGGGCUGAUGACGGUACCGUAAGAAUAAGCACCGGCUAACUACGUG